AGAACGAACGCUGGCGGCAGGCUUAACACAUGCAAGUCGAGCGCCUCGCAAGAGGAGCGGCAGACGGGUGAGUAACACGUGGGAACAUACCCUCCGGUUCGGAAUAACUCAGGGAAACUUGAGCUAAUACCGGAUACGGUCGAGAGGCGAAAGAUUUAUCGCCGGAGGAUUGGCCCGCGUCCGAUUAGCUAGUUGGUGUGGUAAUGGCGCACCAAGGCGACGAUCGGUAGCUGGUCUGAGAGGAUGAUCAGCCACAUUGGGACUGAGACACGGCCCAAACUCCUACGGGAGGCAGCAGUGGGGAAUAUUGGACAAUGGGCGCAAGCCUGAUCCAGCCAUGCCGCGUGAGUGAUGAAGGCCUUAGGGUUGUAAAGCUCUUUCGCUAGGGACGAUAAUGACGGUACCUAGACAAGAAGCCCCGGCUAACUUCGCGCCAGCAGCCGC
rnacentral:rRNA from 1 species